GAAAUAAGAGUUUCUUUCACAUCACCUGACCAACUGAGGAGGCUCACAGAUGGCUCCAACAAGUGCAAGAGUUGGCAGAGGGAAGGAGAUGCAUCACACAGGAGAAGGAAAGAAUAAAGGUUUUGAUUCCAACCAAAUAGAUUUCCAGACUCAGCUGACUGCAGGAGCAUUACUGCCAGCACAAAGCAGAAAGGGACUGCAAUGAAGCAAAUUAACCUCCACGAAAGUGUCUGGUGAAACUUUA